ensembl:lncRNA
CUAUGGUGAAAACUGGGAAAUGACGUUAUAGUCUGAAACAUUUAGUGAAUGUCUAAGCUCUGACCAAAACAAAAAAUAGUGGACUGUAUUUUGAAAAGAUUACUCCGGAAGUGUACUUGUUGUCGUUCCGGCGGAAGCUGCAGACGGCGAGAAUUGCAGCGGCAAACCCUAAACACACACUGGGUUGAAAAGAGCUUCUCUUAUUCAGCGUUACGUGUCCUCUUGAACACAGACAUGUAUCGCCCGGGUGAACCUGUUCGCCAGGUGCCUCCACCGCUGCCGUUCGGACCUCCACCGCCUCACGGCCCUCCUUUUAGACCCACAGGGCCCUGCUCUGUUCCUCCUCCUGGACACUUACCCCCCAGGCCCUGUGGACCAUAUCCGGUCGCGGCACGAGAUUAUCUCCACAACAGACCGCCGAGUGGGCAUUUCGUUCGUGCAAAAGAACAGACGGACAGGCACUCUAAAGACAUCAAAGGACACCCACAUCAUUACAGUCCCUCCAGUAAUCGACACCCUGACCCCCCAGACAGGAGAGAUCACAGGGGUUAUGGUUACCGCGGGGAUUCAGGAAACCACCGGAAUAGCACAGACCAUCUACGGAAUUGGAAGGAUGGCAAAGAUUUCAGAAGCCGAUACCAUGAUGAUGACCACAAAAGUCACAAGGAUAGAGAUAAAAACAUCUUCUUGAAAGAGGAAAUGAAAAAGGAGCGAAUGUUUAUAACAGUCUCCGAUGGACUGACACCUUCAACUUCUAACAUCAGGGUCAAGGAGGAGGUGGACAAGGAGAAGGCCACUGGAAGCCAUGGUAAAGUUAAAGCGAAAGACCUAGAAUCAUCCAAGGAAAAGAAAGGCAGCAUUGAAAAUGAUCAAUACAGUGAUAGCACUGAUGAUGACGGAAAAUCACCUAAAACAAAAAAGAAUAAAAAGAAAAAGAAGAAGAAGGAGAAGGAGAAGGAGAAAAAGAAUAAGAAUAAGAAACAGAAGGAGAAGUCUUAGGUGUUAUUUUGUCCUUGUCAUAUAACUCUGGGAUGAUGGUAGCAGCUUAUUUCUGGACUGAUUUUCUAACAUAGUUUUCUCACUUUCUUUUCCUCCACCCAAUUGUUUUUUGUUACUGUCAUUAGAAGAGGAAGGUAGACCUCAGAGUGAUUCAUCAUGUAUGAAGGAAUAGACUGAUAUGUUAGGAAGCACGUUUGUUGGUGGUCUUUCUCUAAAAGAAGAUUAGUAUUACUUUUGUCUUUGUGUAUCUAGUACAGUGGUCUUUACCUCACUUAGAACUAAGAUUGAUUUUUCUCAGUUAAUUCAGGUAUUUUUCCCCCACUUCAGACAGCGUGUUUGCUCGGUCAAAUUAAUUCUCAUGUGGAAUGAAAUGUUCUCAUGUGUUCCUCAGUAAACAGGCAAACAAAAACCUUUUCCAAGACGUCUGUUCCUUUUACACAUUCUGCACAGUUUUCAGCACUGUAUUAAAGUCUGCCACGUUUCAGGUAUGGCAUCACAUCUUGGUUCUAUUUUUUAAUUAAAUGUUCAAUAAAAUAAGCAGUAAGAAAAUAAGCAGUAAGAAAUUUUUUUCAUUUCAUUGGACCAACAGCAUUGUAGUUUUAGAAAAGGUAUACAUGUAUCUGACAUCUUGUAUUCAUUUUGAUCUCAAAUAAAGACGUAAAAUAAACAAAUGUGUACUAUUCCUUAGUUUUUGGGGUUUUCUUUCUUGAUUUUAUGUUUGAUAUUAUGUUUGAGUGGCUCCCAUCAGGAAGUACAUGUAGACUAUGCUUCCAGGAUGUAGGACACAAAAAAAAGGGUCACUAAUGUCCCUACAGCAUUUCAACAUCUGAACUGUAAGCCUUUCCCACCCCAGUAUUGCAUCCUUUUCUUGCUUCCUUCCCCACACAUUCAGUUCCUUGGUAAUUGAACUGAUCAUUGAAUCUGAACUAUGAUUGGUCAUUUUAUACUGAUGCUUUUAUGUUCUAUGUCUUAUGUGGUGGUCUCUGUGCCUUUUUAAUUGCCCCUUGGGGAUAAAUAAAGGGAAUUUGAAUUGUAUCAAUACAUUUGAAGUGAUCAUAUGCGUGUUUGAUUUAAUUUUAAAUUUACCACAAUUUGUUUUUAAUAUCUGAAAUGUUCAAAUUUAUUCAGGUAAAUGGCAAAGAACCUGCAUCUAAAGAGUAGUUUAGAAUUCUAGUACAAAUUGGAAAUAGUGAAACUACAAGUAACUCAAAGUUACUUUACUAAGUUCGUAAGCUAAGUUAUUUUUGCUUGACGUCUGUGGAGAAAAAAAGGUCUGAC